rnacentral:rRNA from 1 species
UAUGUGAUCGUCUCUCGCAUAUCAAUAAGCGGAGGAAAAGAAACUAACAAGGAUUCCCCUAGUAACGGCGAGUGAAGCGGGAAGAGCUCAAAUUUGAAAUCUUAAAGGGUUUCCCUUUACGAAUUGUAGUUUAAAGAAGUGUUUUCUGUUGAGGUUUUGGUAAAAGUUCUUUGGAAUAGGACAUCAUAGAGGGUGAGAAUCCCGUAUUUGACCUUUACUUUCAACUUUGUGAUACACUUUCAAAGAGUCGGAUUGUUUGGGAAUGCAGUCCAAAAUGGGUGGUAAAUUUCAUCUAAAGCUAAAUAUUGGCGAGAGGACCGAUAGCGAACAAGUACCGUGAGGGAAAGAUGAAAAGAACUUUGAAAAGAGAGUUAAACAGUACGUGAAAUUGUCAAAAGGGAAGCGUUUGACACCAGUGUUGUUUUUCUGAAAAUCAAUUAAAGAACUGUUUAUGCUAAGCUGUUUAGACUUUAUCAGCUAUCUGUUUAGUUUUGAGCUUUUCUUUAAUGCACUUUUCAGUUAACAAGUCAACAUCAAUUUCUUUUGCUGUAAAAAAGCUUGAGGAAGGUGGCUUGAGAUUCGUCUUAAGUGUUUAUAGCCUCUUGCCUAUGCAGUCGGAGAGAUUGAGGUCUGCAGCGUAGAUCCUUCGGGGCUAAAUGCAUUUGUGCUAAGUUAUAGCAUUUUAUAGACAACUUGUUGACUAUGAUUUGUCUUGUAGCUUACUCGCUUAUGUUAUUUUACCUACGCUUAGGAUGUUGAAGACUCUACAGAGAUA